rnacentral:lncRNA from 1 species
AAAAGGAUAAAAGGAAACCAGUUUGAGUCCUUGACUAACUGUGUAGUCAAGGUUUCACAUUCUCCCUAAUGAACUGCUCCAACUGAGAGAUUUCACCGGUCAAACCAGAAGCUUCGGCAACAAUUACUUUGUUACAGCACUGAGAAAAUCCAAAUGGUUCUCCGGGUACUCCAAGGGUAAACUUGUUAGAAAUGUCUGCCUCAGAUACCGCAGUUCUUGAUGUACGAAGCUUGUCGCUG